rnacentral:rRNA from 1 species
UACGGAGGGGGGCUAGCGUUGUUCGGAAUUACUGGGCGUAAAGCGCGCGUAGGCGGCUUUGUAAGUCAGAGGUGAAAUCCUGGAGCUUAACUCCAGAACUGCCUUUGAGACUGCAUCGCUUGAAUCGUGGAGAGGUAAGUGGAAUUCCGAGUGUAGAGGUGAAAUUCGUAGAUAUUCGCAAGAACACCAGUGGCGAAGGCGGCUCACUGGCCCGGUACUGACGCUGAGGUGCGAAAGCGUGGGGAGCAAACAGG